CCUCCAUGUCCCAGAAUACAGUGCAAAAUACAUCAUAAUUACAUCAUGAAUACAUUAGAGAGAGGUUGGGUUACACAGGUUACAUCAUGAAUAUCUUAAGGAGAGGUUGGGUUACACAGAUUAACAUAUGGAGCAGGGAGGGGGAAAUAUGCAGAGCUGGAGAUAUGCACGGAUAAGCGCUUCCUGAGUACCGGUGAUGAGAAGACAAUAGUCCAAGUAUGCAAAGUCUGUCACCUGGCAUUGCCCGGAGGAAAGGUUGGGCACAGUAAUUUGACCGGAUUAGGGUCUUCCUGAGUACGUGACUCCUCGCUCGAGGGAUUAUGGAGGCCGAGGAGGUGUCAUGGAGUCCUG